CCUACGGGAGGCAGCAGUGAGGAAUAUUGGUCAAUGGGCUUACGCCUGAACCAGCCAAGUCGCGUGAGGGAAGACUGCCCUAUGGGUUGUAAACCUCUUUUGUCAGGGAGCAACGCCGGCUACGUGUAGCCGGACUGAGAGUACCUGAAGAAAAAGCAUCGGCUAACUCCGUGCCAGCAGCCGCGGUAAUACGGAGGAUGCGAGCGUUAUCCGGAUUUAUUGGGUUUAAAGGGUGCUUAGGCGGAAGGUUAAGUCAGCGGUCAAAUGUCGGUGCUCAACACCGGCCUGCCGUUGAAACUGGUCGUCUUGAGUGAGCGAGAAGUAUGCGGAAUGCGUGGUGUAGCGGUGAAAUGCAUAGAUAUCACGCAGAACUCCGAUUGCGAAGGCAGCAUACCGGCGCUCAACUGACGCUGAGGCACGAAAGCGUGGGGAUCGAACAGGAUUAGAUACCCGGGUAGUC
rnacentral:rRNA from 1 species